AAUGUUUGUCAAAUGUAUUCUUUGGGCACCUCACAGGGCCAGGCACAAGGGGAAGGGGUAUUUGCAGCUGACUUCAAUCCAAAGCCGAAUGUGGGUGUUGGCACCUGCUGCUCCCUCUGUCCAGACAUCUCCCUGUAUCUUUGCUUAUUUGGUUUCAUAUUGAUUGACCAUCAACCAUCCCCCAUCCCUGUAGAACGAGAAGCUCAUGAGAACAGGGGUCUUGUUCUCUAGCUGUUGUUUCUCCACUGAGAAGAGUGCCUGGAAACAGAGUCAAUGCUCAAUAAACAUUUAUGGAACAAA
rnacentral:lncRNA from 1 species